AAUCAAGGUUCAACUACAAGACUGCGCACACAGACCACACAGGGAAUUUCAAGGAUCUUAGUGAGAACAUCAAAGACAUGAAAAAGGACUAGUCAGAAAUUAAGCAUAUACUAACCGAAAUAAAGAAUAACUUACAGGAAUUCAAUAGUAGAAUAGAGGAUUCCGAGAAUCAACUCAACGAUUUGGAAUAUGAGAAAGCAAAAACAAAAAACAA